UCCAUUGCUAGCUCAGUAUUCAGUGUAGAGUCUGUGUGAUAUUCAUACACAGCUACAUCUGAUUACUGGGUCAAUAAUGACAUCA
rfam:Lepisosteus oculatus linkage group LG7, whole genome shotgun sequence.